GCACAAGCGGUGGAGCAUGUGGUUUAAUUCGAUGCACGCGAAGAACCUUACCAGGGUUUGACAUCCUGCGAAUCCCUUGGAAACGAGGGAGUGCCUUCGGGAACGCAGUGACAGGUGGUGCAUGGCUGUCGUCAGCUCGUGUCGUGAGAUGUUGGGUUAAGUCCCGCAACGAGCGCAACCCACGUCGUUAGUUGCCAGCAUUUAGUUGGGCACUCUAGCGAGACCGCCGGUGAUAAACCGGAGGAAGGUGUGGAUGACGUCAAGUCAUCAUGCCCCUUACAUCCUGGGCUACACACGUACUACAAUGCUACGGACAAAGGGCAGCAAACCCGCGAGAGCUAGCAAAUCCCAUAAACCGUGGCUCAGUUCAGAUCGUAGGCUGCAACUCGCCUACGUGAAGGAGGAAUCGCUAGUAAUCGCAGGUCAGCAUACUGCGGUGAUACGUUCCCGGGC
rnacentral:rRNA from 1 species